rnacentral:ribozyme from 13 species
CAAAAAAGAUCAUCCGAAACAUGAGAAGGAACAAGUUGAGAAUAAAGAUCUUUGACAAUUGGGUUUGAUUCCAGAAUUGUUUUCGAUGUUUCUUUUGCUUCUUCGUCGUCCCAAUUUGCUUUUAACCAUUCUUCAAAUUGUUUUUCUUGAGGAGGAGAAACAUAAGUUUCAGAAUCAGCUUCAAAAUUUUCAGAACUCCAAUUCCCAUUUCCAUUUCCACUUUUCUCAGAAAUUUCAUUUUCAUUUUUUAAAGAAGAAGAAAUAAAAGAAAAAAUGGUAGAAGUUUUUGUUGUUGCUUCUUUUUC